rnacentral:rRNA from 1 species
GGUUAAGCGACUAAGCGUACACGGUGGAUGCCCUGGCAGUCAGAGGCGAUGAAGGACGUGCUAAUCUGCGAUAAGCGUCGGUAAGGUGAUAUGAACCGUUAUAACCGGCGAUUUCCGAAUGGGGAAACCCAGUGUGUUUCGACACACUAUCAUUAACUGAAUCCAUAGGUUAAUGAGGCGAACCGGGGGAACUGAAACAUCUAAGUACCCCGAGGAAAAGAAAUCAACCGAGAUUCCCCCAGUAGCGGCGAGCGAACGGGGAGGAGCCCAGAGCCUGAAUCAGUGUGUGUGUUAGUGGAAGCGUCUGGAAAGGCGCGCGAUACAGGGUGACAGCCCCGUACACAAAAAUGCACAUGCUGUGAGCUCGAUGAGUAGGGCGGGACACGUGGUAUCCUGUCUGAAUAUGGGGGGACCAUCCUCCAAGGCUAAAUACUCCUGACUGACCGAUAGUGAACCAGUACCGUGAGGGAAAGGCGAAAAGAACCCCGGCGAGGGGAGUGAAAAAGAACCUGAAACCGUGUACGUACAAGCAGUGGGAGCCUCUUUAUGGGGUGACUGCGUACCUUUUGUAUAAUGGGUCAGCGACUUAUAUUCUGUAGCAAGGUUAACCGAAUAGGGGAGCCGAAGGGAAACCGAGUCUUAACUGGGCGUUAAGUUGCAGGGUAUAGACCCGAAACCCGGUGAUCUAGCCAUGGGCAGGUUGAAGGUUGGGUAACACUAACUGGAGGACCGAACCGACUAAUGUUGAAAAAUUAGCGGAUGACUUGUGGCUGGGGGUGAAAGGCCAAUCAAACCGGGAGAUAGCUGGUUCUCCCCGAAAGCUAUUUAGGUAGCGCCUCGUGAAUUCAUCUCCGGGGGUAGAGCACUGUUUCGGCAAGGGGGUCAUCCCGACUUACCAACCCGAUGCAAACUGCGAAUACCGGAGAAUGUUAUCACGGGAGACACACGGCGGGUGCUAACGUCCGUCGUGAAGAGGGAAACAACCCAGACCGCCAGCUAAGGUCCCAAAGUCAUGGUUAAGUGGGAAACGAUGUGGGAAGGCCCAGACAGCCAGGAUGUUGGCUUAGAAGCAGCCAUCAUUUAAAGAAAGCGUAAUAGCUCACUGGUCGAGUCGGCCUGCGCGGAAGAUGUAACGGGGCUAAACCAUGCACCGAAGCUGCGGCAGCGACACUAUGUGUUGUUGGGUAGGGGAGCGUUCUGUAAGCCUGCGAAGGUGUACUGUGAGGUAUGCUGGAGGUAUCAGAAGUGCGAAUGCUGACAUAAGUAACGAUAAAGCGGGUGAAAAGCCCGCUCGCCGGAAGACCAAGGGUUCCUGUCCAACGUUAAUCGGGGCAGGGUGAGUCGACCCCUAAGGCGAGGCCGAAAGGCGUAGUCGAUGGGAAACAGGUUAAUAUUCCUGUACUUGGUGUUACUGCGAAGGGGGGACGGAGAAGGCUAUGUUGGCCGGGCGACGGUUGUCCCGGUUUAAGCGUGUAGGCUGGUUUUCCAGGCAAAUCCGGAAAAUCAAGGCUGAGGCGUGAUGACGAGGCACUACGGUGCUGAAGCAACAAAUGCCCUGCUUCCAGGAAAAGCCUCUAAGCAUCAGGUAACAUCAAAUCGUACCCCAAACCGACACAGGUGGUCAGGUAGAGAAUACCAAGGCGCUUGAGAGAACUCGGGUGAAGGAACUAGGCAAAAUGGUGCCGUAACUUCGGGAGAAGGCACGCUGAUAUGUAGGUGAAGUCCCUCGCGGAUGGAGCUGAAAUCAGUCGAAGAUACCAGCUGGCUGCAACUGUUUAUUAAAAACACAGCACUGUGCAAACACGAAAGUGGACGUAUACGGUGUGACGCCUGCCCGGUGCCGGAAGGUUAAUUGAUGGGGUUAGCGGUAACGCGAAGCUCUUGAUCGAAGCCCCGGUAAACGGCGGCCGUAACUAUAACGGUCCUAAGGUAGCGAAAUUCCUUGUCGGGUAAGUUCCGACCUGCACGAAUGGCGUAAUGAUGGCCAGGCUGUCUCCACCCGAGACUCAGUGAAAUUGAACUCGCUGUGAAGAUGCAGUGUACCCGCGGCAAGACGGAAAGACCCCGUGAACCUUUACUAUAGCUUGACACUGAACAUUGAGCCUUGAUGUGUAGGAUAGGUGGGAGGCUUUGAAGUGUGGACGCCAGUCUGCAUGGAGCCGACCUUGAAAUACCACCCUUUAAUGUUUGAUGUUCUAACGUUGGCCCCUGAUCGGGGUUGCGGACAGUGUCUGGUGGGUAGUUUGACUGGGGCGGUCUCCUCCUAAAGAGUAACGGAGGAGCACGAAGGUUGGCUAAUCCUGGUCGGACAUCAGGAGGUUAGUGCAAUGGCAUAAGCCAGCUUGACUGCGAGCGUGACGGCGCGAGCAGGUGCGAAAGCAGGUCAUAGUGAUCCGGUGGUUCUGAAUGGAAGGGCCAUCGCUCAACGGAUAAAAGGUACUCCGGGGAUAACAGGCUGAUACCGCCCAAGAGUUCAUAUCGACGGCGGUGUUUGGCACCUCGAUGUCGGCUCAUCACAUCCUGGGGCUGAAGUAGGUCCCAAGGGUAUGGCUGUUCGCCAUUUAAAGUGGUACGCGAGCUGGGUUUAGAACGUCGUGAGACAGUUCGGUCCCUAUCUGCCGUGGGCGCUGGAGAACUGAGGGGGGCUGCUCCUAGUACGAGAGGACCGGAGUGGACGCAUCACUGGUGUUCGGGUUGUCAUGCCAAUGGCACUGCCCGGUAGCUAAAUGCGGAAGAGAUAAGUGCUGAAAGCAUCUAAGCACGAAACUUGCCCCGAGAUGAGUUCUCCCUGACUCCUUGAGAGUCCUGAAGGAACGUUGAAGACGACGACGUUGAUAGGCCGGGUGUGUAAGCGCAGCGAUGCGUUGAGCUAACCGGUACUAAUGAACCGUGAGGCUUAACCUU